rnacentral:rRNA from 1 species
AUGGCUCAGGAUGAACGCUAGCUACAGGCUUAACACAUGCAAGUCGAGGGGCAGCAUAAUCGAAGCUUGCUUGAUGAUGGCGACCGGCGCACGGGUGAGUAACGCGUAUCCAACCUUCCCCUUAGUAGAGGAUAGCCCGGCGAAAGUCGGAUUAAUACUCUAUGUUUUUCCGAAGAUGGCAUCUGAUUUGGAACAAGGUUUACCGCUAAGGGAUGGGGAUGCGUCUGAUUAGGUUGUUGGCGGGGUAACGGCCCACCAAGCCCACGAUCAGUAGGGGUUCUGAGAGGAAGGUCCCCCACAUUGGAACUGAGACACGGUCCAAACUCCUACGGGAGGCAGCAGUGAGGAAUAUUGGUCAAUGGACGUAAGUCUGAACCAGCCAAAGUAGCGUGCAGGAUGACGGCCCUAUGGGUUGUAAACUGCUUUUGUACGGGAAUAAAGUGCGGGACGUGUCCCGUUUUGUAUGUACCGUAAGAAUAAGGACCGGCUAAUUCCGUGCCAGCCGCAGC